rnacentral:rRNA from 1 species
UUGCUACUGGUCGGGAGGUGCUGUAACUCCGCAUAGUAUUCAUUUACUGAUGAGCGGCCGGCCCUCUGUCUGUACCCUUGUCUUUUGCGCACUCAUGUUUCCUCGGCGGGCUUGCCCGCCGAUUGGACAAAACUAUAACCUUUUUAAUUUUCAAUCAGCGUCUGAAAAAACUUAAUAAUUACAACUUUCAACAACGGAUCUCUUGGUUCUGGCAUCGAUGAAGAACGCAGCGAAAUGCGAUAAGUAGUGUGAAUUGCAGAAUUCAGUGAAUCAUCGAAUCUUUGAACGCACAUUGCGCCCCUUGGUAUUCCAUGGGGCAUGCCUGUUCGAGCGUCAUUUGUACCCUCAAGCUCUGCUUGGUGUUGGGUGUUUGUCCUCUCCUCUGCGUUUGGACUCGCCUUAAAGCAAUUGGCAGCCAGUGUUUUGGUAUUGAAGCGCAGCACAUUUUGCGAUUCUAGCCGAUAAUACUUGCGUCCAUAAGCCUUUUUUAACUUUUGACCUCGGAUCAGGUAGGGAUACCCGCUGAACUUAAGCAUAUCAAUAAGCGGAGGAA